rnacentral:tRNA from 1 species
GGAGAGGUGUCCGAGUGGUUGAAGGAGCACGCCUGGAAAGUGUGUAUACGGUUUAUCCCGUAUCGAGGGUUCGAAUCCCUCUCUCUCCGCCA